rnacentral:rRNA from 1 species
CUACGGGACGCUCCAGUAAGGAAUAUUGGACAAUGGAGGAAACUCUGAUCCAGCCAUGCCGCGUGAGUGAAGAAGGCCUUCGGGUUGUAAAGCUCUUUUACCCCUGACGAUAAUAACGGUAAGGGGAGAAAAAGCCACGGCUAACUUCGUGCCAGCAGCCGCGGUAAUACGAAGGUGGCAAGCGUUGUUCGGAUUUACUGGGCGUAAAGCGUAUGUAGGCGGUUUGAUAAGUCAGAAGUGAAAGCCCAGGGCUAAACCCUGGAAUUGCUUUUGAAACUAUCUUACUUGAAUCCGAUAGAGGUUGGCGGAAUUCCCAGUGUAGAGGUGAAAUUCGCAGAUAUUGGGAGGAACACCAGUGGCGUAAGCGGCCAACUGGAUCGGUAUUGACGCUGAGAUACGAAAGCGUGGGUAGCAAACAGGAUUAGAUACCCUCGUAGUC